UACGAAGGGUGCAAGCGUUAAUCGGAAUUACUGGGCGUAAAGGGUGCGUAGGCGGUUAGUUAAGUCUGUUGUGAAAUCCCCGGGCUCAACCUGGGAACUGCAUUUGUGACUGCAUCGCUGGAGUGCGGCAGAGGGGGAUGGAAUUCCGCGUGUAGCAGUGAAAUGCGUAGAUAUGCGGAGGAACACCGAUGGCGAAGGCAAUCCCCUGGGCCUGCACUGACGCUCAUGCACGAAAGCGUGGGGAGCAAACAGG
rnacentral:rRNA from 1 species